UACGAAGGGGGCAAGCGUUGUUCGGAAUUACUGGGCGUAAAGGGCGCGUAGGCGGUGCACUAAGUCAGGCGUGAAAUCUCCGGGCUUAACUCGGAAAGGUCAACUGAUACUGUGCGACUAGAGUGCAGAAGGGGCAACUGGAAUUCUCGGUGUAGCGGUGAAAUGCGUAGAUAUCGGAAGGAACAUCAGUGGCGAAAGCGACUUCCUGGACCAGUACCGACGUCAGGCACGAAAGCGUGGGGAGCAAACAGG
rnacentral:rRNA from 1 species